GACGAACGCUGGCGGCGUGCCUAAUACAUGCAAGUCGAACGCUUCUUUCCUCCCGAGUGCUUGCACUCAAUUGGAAAGAGGAGUGGCGGACGGGUGAGUAACACGUGGGUAACCUACCCAUCAGAGGGGGAUAACACUUGGAAAUAGGUGCUAAUACCGCAUAACAGUUUAUGCCGCAUGGCAUAAGAGUGAAAGGCGCUUUCGGGUGUCGCUGAUGGAUGGACCCGCGGUGCAUUAGCUAGUUGGUGAGGUAACGGCUCACCAAGGCCACGAUGCAUAGCCGACCUGAGAGGGUAUCGGCCACACUGGGACUGAGACACGGCCCAGACUCCUACGGGAGGCAGCAGUAGGGAAUCUUCGGCAAUGGACGAAAGUCUGACCGAGCAACGCCGCGUGAGUGAAGAAGGUUUUCGGAUCGUAAAACUCUGUUGUUAGAGAAGAACAAGGACGUUAGUAACUGAACGUCCCCUGACGGUAUCUAACCAGAAAGCCACGGCUAACUACGUG
rnacentral:rRNA from 1 species